GGAAGUAAAGUCGUAACAAGGUUUCCGUAGGUGAACCUGCGGAAGGAUCAUUAUUGUAUAACCGAGGUGCGAGGGCCGUCGCUGACCCGAAAGGUCGUGCACGCCCGAGUGCCCUCACACACAUCCAUCUCACCCCUAUGUGCACCACCGCGUGGGUCCCCCUUUGGCUUGUUCGGAGGGGGGCUUACGUUUUCACACAAACUUUGUAUGCAGUGUAGAAUGUAUUUUUUGUUUUUGCGAUCACGCAAUCAAUACAACUUUCAACAACGGACCUCUUGGCUCUC
rnacentral:misc_RNA from 1 species